rnacentral:rRNA from 1 species
AUUGAACGCUGGCGGCAUGCUUUACACAUGCAAGUCGAACGGUAGAGGGGGCAACCCCUUGAGAGUGGCGAACGGGUGAGUAAUGCAUCGGAACGUGCCCAGUCGUGGGGGAUAACGCAGCGAAAGCUGUGCUAAUACCGCAUACGAUCUCUGGAUGAAAGCGGGGGACCGAAAGGCCUCGCGCGAUUGGAGCGGCCGAUGUCAGAUUAGGUAGUUGGUGGGGUAAAGGCUCACCAAGCCAACGAUCUGUAGCUGGUCUGAGAGGACCAACAGACACACGGGGACUGCGACAUGGCGCAGACUACUAAGGGAGGCAGCAGUGGGGAAUUUUGGAAAAUGGGCGAAAGCCUGAUCCAGCAAUGCCGCGUGCAGGAAGAAGGCCUUCGGGUUGUAAACUGCUUUUGUACGGAGCGAAAAGGCCCUUUCUAAUACAAGGGGCUCAUGACGGUACCGUAAGAAUAAGCACCGGCUAACUACGUGCCAGCCGCCGCCGUAA